UAUACCGAGGCCAAUGAUCGAGCCAGCUUGCUGGUGAAGUGACUGAACGAGGUUCCAGGAAAAGCCACUAAGCUUCAGCUACACACGACCGUACCGCAAACCGACACUGGUGCGCGAGAUGAGUAUUCUAAGGCGCUUGAGAGAACUCAGGAGAAGGAACUCGCAAAUUGACACCGUAACUUCGGAAGAAGGUGUGCCCUAGUAGUGUGAAGUGAACAACGGAGCAUGAAUGGGUUGCAAAAAAUCGGUGGCUGCGACUGUUUAUUAAAAACACAGCACUCUGCAAACACGUAAGUGGACGUAUAGGGUGUGACGCCUGCCCGGUGCUGGAAGAUUAAAUGAUGGGGUGCAAGCUCUUGAUUGAAGUACCAGUAAACGGCGGCCGUAACGAUAACGGUCCUAAGGUAGCGAAAUUUCUUGUCGGGUAAGUUCCGACCUGCACGAAUGGCGUAACGAUGGCCACACUGUCUCCUCCUGAGACUCAGCGAAGUUGAAAUGUUUGUGAUGAUGCAAUCUCCCCGCGGAAAGACGGAAAGACCCCAUGAACCUUUACUGUAGCUUUGUAUUGGACUUUGAACAGAUCUGUGUAGGAUAGGUGGGAGGCUUUGAAGCAGGGUCGCUAGAUCUUGUGGAGCCAACGUUGAAAUACCACCCUGGUGUGUUUGAGGUUCUAACCUAGGUCCAUUAUCUGGAUCGGGGACAGUGCAUGGUAGGCAGUUUGACUGGGGCGGUCUCCUCCCAAAGCGUAACGGAGGAGUUCGAAGGUACGCUAGUUACGGUCGGACAUCGUGACGAUAGUGCAAUGGCAUAAGCGUGCUUAACUGCGAGACUGACAAGUCGAGCAGAUGCGAAAGCAGGACAUAGUGAUCCGGUGGUUCUGUAUGGAAGGGCCAUCGCUCAACGGAUAAAAGGUACUCUGGGGAUAACAGGCUGAUACCGCCCAAGAGUUCAUAUCGACGGCGGUGUUUGGCACCUCGAUGUCGGCUCAUCUCAUCCUGGGGCUGUAGCCGGUCCCAAGGGUAUGGCUGUUCGCCAUUUAAAGAGGUACGUGAGCUGGGUUUAAAACGUCGUGAGACAGUUUGGUCCCUAUCUUCCGUGGGCGCUGCAGAUUUGAGGAAGCCUGCUCCUAGUACGAGAGGACCGGAGUGGACACACCUCUGGUGUAUCGGUUGUCACGCCAGUGGCAUUGCCGAGUAGCUAAGUGUGGAAGAGAUAACCGCUGAAAGCAUCUAAGCGGGAAACUCGUUUCAAGAUGAGAUCUGCCGGGGCCUUGAGCCCCCUGAAGAGUCGUUCAAGACCAGGACGUUGAUAGGUCAGGUGUGGAAGCGCAGUAAUGCGUUAAGCUAACUGAUACUAAUUGCUCGUGCGGCUUGACCGA
rnacentral:rRNA from 1 species